GCCUAACACAUGCAAGUCGAACGAACUCUUCGGAGUUAGUGGCGCACGGGUGCGUAACGCGUGGGAACCUGCCCUUAGGUUCGGAAUAACUCAGAGAAAUUUGAGCUAAUACCGGAUAAUGUCUUCGGACCAAAGAUUUAUCGCCUUUGGAUGGGCCCGCGUUGGAUUAGCUAGUUGGUGAGGUAAAAGCUCACCAAGGCGACGAUCCAUAGCUGGUCUGAGAGGAUGAUCAGCCACACUGGGACUGAGACACGGCCCAGACUCCUACGGGAGGCAGCAGUGGGGAAUAUUGGACAAUGGGCGCAAGCCUGAUCCAGCAAUGCCGCGUGAGUGAUGAAGGCCGUAGGGUAGUACAGCUCUUUUAAAAACGAUGAGGUGACAAUACCUG
rnacentral:rRNA from 1 species